CCUACGGGAGGCAGCAGUGAGGAAUAUUGGUCAAUGGACGAGAGUCUGAACCAGCCAAGUAGCGUGAAGGAUGACUGCCCUAUGGGUUGUAAACUUCUUUUAUAUGGGAAUAAAAUGUUCCACGUGUGGGAUUUUGUAUGUACCAUAUGAAUAAGGAUCGGCUAACUCCGUGCCAGCAGCCGCGGUAAUACGGAGGAUCCGAGCGUUAUCAGGAUUUAUUGGGUUUAAAGGGAGCGUAGGUGGAUUGUUAAGUCAGUUGUGAAAGUUUGCGGCUCAACCGUAAAAUUGCAGUUGAAACUGGCAGUCUUGAGUACAGUAGAGGUGGGCGGAAUUCGUGGUGUAGUGGUGAAAUGCUUAGAUAUCACGAAGAACUCCGAUUGCGAAGGCAGUUCACUGGACUGCAACUGACACUGAGGCUCGAAAGUGUGGGUAUCAAACAGGAUUAGAUACCCCUGUAGUC
rnacentral:rRNA from 1 species